AGGGAGUAGUGAGGAAACUUCUUAAGGAGUUCUUUAAAUCUCUCCCACGACUCAUAAAUGGAUUCACCAUCUAAUUGAAUAAAUUAGGUGAUAUAAUUUCUAAGCUU